rnacentral:rRNA from 1 species
ACUGAAACAUCUAAGUACCCGGAGGAAGAGAAAGAAAUUCGAUUCCGUAAGUAGCGGCGAGCGAACGCGGAACAGGCCAAACCAGUGAAGUUUUCUUCGCUGGGGUUGCGGACAUAUCAUAACGAAGAGGUAUCGUAGAAGAAGAGAGUUGGAAAGCUCCGCCACAGAUGGUAACAGCCCAGUAUUUUAAACGAGAAGACUUUAGAUAUGAUCCAGAGUACCACGGGACACGUGAAACCCUGUGGGAAGCAGGAGGGACCAUCCUCCAAGCCUAAAUACUACCUAGUGACCGAUAGCGUAUAGUACCGUGAGGGAAAGGUGAAAAGAACCCCGGGAGGGGAGUGAAAGAGAACCUGAAACCCUGCACUUACAAGCUGUAGGAGCACAUUAUUUGUGUGACUGCGUACUUUUUGUAGAACGGGCCAACGAGUUACGUUGUGUAGCAAGGUUAAGCACUUAAGGUGUGGAGCCGUAGCGAAAGCGAGUCUUAAAUGGGCGUCCAGUUACCCGACGUAGACCCGAAACCAGGCGACCUAUCCAUGAGCAGGUUGAAGCGAAAGUAAAAUUUCGUGGAGGACCGAACCCACGUACGUUGAAAAGUGCGGGGAUGACUUGUGGAUAGCGGUGAAAUUCCAAUCGAGCCUGGAGAUAGCUGGUUCUCCCCGAAAUAGCUUUAGGGCUAGCCUCAAGCUUAGAGAAACGGAGGUAGAGCACUGAAUGUCCUAGGGGGUAUUGCACUUACCGAAGACUAUCAAACUCCGAAUGCCGUAUUCUUUUGCUUGGGAGUCAGACUAUGGGUGAUAAGAUUCAUAGUCAAGAGGGCAACAGCCCAGAUCGUCAGCUAAGGUCCCUAAAUGUAAGUUAAGUGGUAAAGGAUGUGGAAUUGCACAGACAACCAGGAUGUUGGCUUAGAAGCAGCCACUCAUUUAAAGAGUGCGUAAUAGCUCACUGGUCGAGUGAUUCUGCGCCGAAAAUUUCCGGGGCUAAAACUUACUACCGAAGCUACGGCAUCAUUAUGAUGGGUAGGGGAGCUUUCUAUGUGGCUUGAAGCAUGACCGUAAGGACAUGUGGACUGCAUAGAAGUGAGAAUGUUGGCAUGAGUAGCGAGAUGUGGGUGAGAAUCCCACAGGCCGUAAACCCAAGGUUUCCAGGGGAAGGUUCGUCCGCCCUGGGUUAGUCAGGACCUAAGCCGAGGCCGAAAGGCGUAGGUGAUGGACAACAGGUUGAUAUUCCUGUACCACCAAUAACCGUUUGAGAAAUGGGAUGACACAGUAGGAUAAGCUAACCGCACUGUUGGUUAUGUGCGGGCAAGUAUUGAGGCAGUUCCGAUAGGCAAAUCCGUCGGAAUAAUGCUGGGGUACGAUGCGGAGCGAAAUUUAGUAGCGAAGUAGCUGAUUUCACACUGUCGAGAAAAGUCUCUAUCGAGGUUAAAGGUGCCUGUACCGCAAACCGACACAGGUGGGUGAGGAGAGUAUCCUAAGGCCAGCGAGAGAACUGUUGUUAAGGAACUCGGCAAAAUGACCCCGUAACUUCGGGAGAAGGGGUGCCUUCGAAAGAAGGCCGCAGAGAAUAGGCCCAAGCGACUGUUUACCAAAAACAUAGGUUUCUGCUAAGUCGCAAGACGAUGUAUAGGAGCUGACGCCUGCCCGGUGCUGGAAGGUUAAGGGGAUCUGUUAGAGCAAUCGAAGCAGUGAACUUAAGCCCCAGUAAACGGCGGCCGUAACUAUAACGGUCCUAAGGUAGCGAAAUUCCUUGUCGGGUAAGUUCCGACCCGCACGAAAGGCGUAACGAUUUGGGCACUGUCUCAACAACAGACUCGGUGAAAUUGUAAUACCGGUGAAGAUGCCGGUUACCUGCGACAGGACGGAAAGACCCCAUGGAGCUUUACUGUAGCUUGACAUUGAGUCUCGGUGCUACAUGUACAGGAUAGGUGGGAGACUAUGAAGCAUGGACGUCAGUCUGUGUGGAGUCAUCCUUGGGAUACCACCCUUGUAGUACUGGGAUUCUAACCAGAGGCCAUGAAUCUGGUCUUGGGACACUGUCAGGUGGACAGUUUGACUGGGGCGGUCGCCUCCCAAAAAGUAACGGAGGCGCUCAAAGGUUCUCUCAGUACGGUCGGAAAUCGUACGAAGAGUGUAAAGGCAAAAGAGAGCUUGAUUGCAAGACAUACAGGUCGAGCAAGGACGAAAGUCGGACUUAGUGAUCCGGUGGUUCCGCAUGGAAGGGCCAUCGCU